UGAUUCGAACGUCUUGGCGUAAUUGUCGGAAUAUUAUAUUGUGGAAAAAGGCAAUCUCUUUUUUUUUAGUUUUGCGAGAGAUUUGCUUUCGGUACAGACGUUAAUAUUAUAUACUCGAAUUUAAUCGUAGCAAAUGGCAGUUAAAAGAAAAAAAUAAAAUGAUGUGUAUAUUUAGUGAAGAUGGAAAUUUAACAAAUACUGUACAGUAAGCAACAACAUACAGCAUCCAUCAAGUUAUAGGAAUUGUACACAUGACUAUAUUUAUGGUUACGGCAUCAUCGUCAGUUCCUAAAGUAGCCAACACCAGAUUUCUCUGCACUUAAAACAGUUUCCCAAGUUAACGCAAAAACAAAAAAAAACAAAAAGCAAAUGAAAAUUAACUGAUGUUUUUUUGCAACUCAGUAGAAGUUGCUGUGAAUGCUUGCAACCGCAAUACCCAGAAGCUAACAUAGACACUUGUUAACGACAACAAUAACAAAAAUAA